GGUUGCUCUCUUCCACAAAUCUAGACCUCUUUCGAGUAGGAGUAGAAUCAAACUUAUGAAUAGAAGACACGAGUCAUGAUGAAAUCAAACUCAACCUUAAAUAAAGCUGAUUAUACACAAAUGUCAAGAAUCAAACCUAAAUUGAGCCAAAUGUCUAUACCCAAGAGCAAAAAAUGGUGAAGAAAAUAAAAGAUGAAAUAUUGUAAGUACAAAACCACGGAGUAAUUAGACAAGAGGCGUGUAUUAAUGUCACGAUCCGAUUUAUAAGUCAUGAUGAAAUCUACUUUAUCCCACCAGUAGGUAAGCCAAACAAUAGCUGAAGCUACACGCAAUGGGCUAACUUGGCGAAAAAUGACCCAAAAAUCAGAAAUUAAUAUUUAAAGAGUUAAAAUAGCAAUAGAGUAGUUAUAAAAGUCUAAUAAAUAGAUGAAGGGGUCAACAACCAUCCCAAGACUCAGUAAUGUUGCUAUAAAAGCUUCUAUAAAUAAACUAUAAGUACUGAACAGUCACAUACAAUCUGUCUCAAAAAUGAAAGACUAGACAUAGAUAAGUAGAAGGAAAAAUGGUAACUCCAACUCUAAGAGCUCAUCCAAUCUCUGAAAUCAACUCUGCAUGAGCAUCACGUCAAUGGCGGCAACUACUACUCGUAUCUGGACCAAAAAGGUACAAAUGUGUAGUAUGAGUACCAAAACCACGGGUACAUCGACUCACUGAGCUAAUCAUAAUAUAAAUAUGAUAAGAUACAAGAUAAAAUAACUAAGCAUAGGUAAACGGGCAAACUUGGAAAUAAGCUUCAACACCAAUGUGCAUAAGUAAUUAAAUAAAUAUGGGAGUCAAUGUAAAUUUCACACCAUUAUAACUACUAAAUUAGCCCCGAUAAGUCAAUAAGUAUGGAAAAUUAAAUAACUCAAUGAAGGCCCCCUUAAGCCUGGAGAGUACAAUCAAGAAAAGUAAAUAACCCAAUAACAAUAAAUUACCAAUUAUCCUGCAAUAACCAAGAAUCAAUCCAAACUACCUCAUAUUAUAAAUAAGUCCCAAAAUGCUGGACUUGAAUCGAAACUCAAUAAUAUCAUCAUCACUACCAUCAUUUACCGGACUUGAACAAGAAUUUAUAUCAUCAAUAUCAUCAUCAAAUGUCAGAUUUGAACCGAAACUUACAUAUCAUUAUCAUUAUCAUCAUCAAUUGACAGACUCGAAUCAGGACUUAUAUAUCCUUAGACCAUAUCAAUAGACUAUAUAAAUAAACCAUAAUUAUAAGACAUAUCACUAAAUCAUAAUAAUUAUCCAUUAGAACUUAUCCAAAAUUAACACAAACUCUCAACUAUUGAACUAGCGUAAUCAAUAAGCAUCUAAUCUCUUCAAAGUCUCAAAAUAAGCAUUAAUAAGGGUAUAUCAUAUAUAAAUAAGUCUAAAAAAUCUAACACAAGUCUUGACCUAAGGUGGGCCGAAGGGGCCUACUACUAAUCCCCGAAAUUCAUUUUAGAAAAAUUGUAUUCUGGACUAGGAUAAGGUAUCUACAUUCAUUUCUAUAUGUUAAAUAAGUCAUAAUUAUCCCUAAGAUAGUAAUUCUCCCUAAACAUGAGCAACUAAGUCAAUUAUGCCUAAAUUAUGAUUUCACGAUAGCCUAAACAAUCCAACUAACCCAAAUAUUAUCAAUUAUACCUCCAACACCUAAAUUUCAGCUAAUAUCUAGCAUAUUAUCAUAAUGAUACUACGAAAUAGCUCAAUCUAUGAAUCUGCUAAACCACUAAUUUUUCUUUUCGAGAAACUUUUUCAAGAUGUCACGCUAUCAAAAUCAUAAUUUACUCAUCAAAAUGAGAACAAUAAUACCCACAUUGCACUAUUGUCCUUUGAGUCUAAAAUUACGUAAAAAUCUCAUGUGGGGCCUACAAUCAAGCCACCAAGAUUCUAGAGAUUUUAGAAAAAGAUGAACGAUUUUAUCAAGAAAUUAAUAAAAGCUUACCACAAAUUCUAAGGAAAAUGCAUAAAUUGAUUUUACCCAAGCUCUAAAAUCACCCAUAAAUGUUCUCCCAAGAAUUCUCACUUUUUAGGGUUUAAUAUUCUAUAGAAUGGUGAAAACCGAGCUAAGUGGUGUAUUUAUACUCUUCCCAGGCCCACAAUGUCGCUUAAGGGACACUUGCUGUCACAACACAAGUUGAGUAAACGAUGCUAGUAUCGCUUUAGCAGUGUUCGCAUACACAACACGCCCCGCUUAUGCGAAACAAUGGGCAAGCCAGGUCACUUAAGCGACUGGUUGGCCGUGUACGUGAUGCACCAGCACCAGCUGAGACUUGGAAUUUUUCCAAGUCUUUACUAACCCCUUAGGAUACAUUCGAAAUCUCAUAUAUGCAAAUGAACAAUGAUAACCUAUCAAAUUAGACAUUUCAGAAUCAAUGGCGUAGUUAAAAUUUUCAUCUAGGGUCGUUUCAAUGAAAAAUGGGUCCCACACCCACCUGUCAUUUUUCUUAACUUCCGAAAAAUAGCCCAAAAUGAGUUCAAAAACCUCGGAACCUGAACCAAGGGUUCACCUAGACUAAAAUCGAUAUUUUGGAGCUAUUGUAAUAGUCAGAAUUGGCAUACAAUAUCUUUUGACUCAAUGUUUUGCUCGGUAGCCAAUUUGAAUCAACGAAGACUUCAAAAUAGGCAAUUGGUUGUAUAAACCAAAUGAACUGCCCGAUAACUGCACUGUCAGUUCUAGCAAGUCUUAAAUGACUUGGGGCAGCUGUAGAACGCUCUAAAUGGCAAAAAUGAGUGGAAAUACAGAAAAUGACCUAUUUGGUCAUUACAAUAUCCACUACUAAAAGAACAUCCGUUCGCAAAAGUAAAAGAUUAGGAUAUAUCUGAAGCCUCAAAUAGGUGAGGAUACUGGGUCUGCAUCUCGCUCUCGAUCUCCCAAGUAGCAUCCUCUACUGGGUGAUGCCUCCACUGAACCUUAACUACUGAAAUCUCUCUAGUGCCUAACCGCCAGACAUCACUAGCCAAUAUGAGCACCAACUCCUCCAUGAAGGUCAACCACUCAUCUAACUGAACUGAGUCCCAUCUAAGCACAUGAGAAGGGUUAAAAUAUAUCACCGCAACAUAGAAACAUGAAAAAACAAAUGGACAGCAGCAAAAUUUAUGAGUAAGUAUCACGCUUCAUUUCGAACAGGUCGAAACAACACACAACAUAUGAUCGUCGUUGCAACUCUUUUUGAUUUUUUUGAAAAAUUGUUUGUUUGAGUCACCACCUAACUCUUAAGGAAAACUAGAAAAAUCAUUUUUUGUUAUGUGAAAACUCUGUUUUUGUUUGCGAGAAUCCGUGAGAUUCUAAGUAGGAAUUUUGGUUACUCAAGGGGAAGGUAUUAAGCAUCCAUCAAAGCCUAUUCAAAUAUAAUCCUUAAACUUAGUUUUAGAAAAAUAUUUGAAAAACAUUUAUCUAGAAAAAUAUUUGAAAAAUAUUUAUCUCAUUAUUUGCUAAAAUGAUGAUAGGAAAACUUUUGUUAUUAUUAUUACUAUUAUUAUUUUGAAAAGAUACUUAAAUAUAGAAUACAUAACGCUACCGUAUACGAGCAAGUAACAUAAUUAUUGUAAAAUGAUAUAUGAAUAUUUUGAAAUGUGGGAAGGAAGAAUAUUUCUAUUGUAAUAAAAAGCAUAAAAAUGUAACGCUUUUGCAAGAAAAUAUGUUUAAAAUGUAUAAGAGUUGAACAUGUGGACAAAAUUUAUUAUAAAGUAAAAUUCUUUAAAGUAUGAAGUAAUUUAUUCAAAAUAAACCUAAAUAUACUAAUAUUUAGAAAUAUGUGACAAGGAUGUGAAAAUUUAUUAUUUUUAUUUGUGAAGUUCUCAAGGAUAGGAAUUAAGUAGAGAAUAAGAUAGAAUGUGCGUGUGUGUAUAUAUAUAUAUAUAUAUAUAUCGUAGAAUCAAAAUAACUUAUGAGUAAUGAUAAUAAUAAUAAUAAUAAUAGAAAUUGCAGAAAAGUGAUAAUAAUCAUAAUAAUAGUGAAAUAGUAGUAAUAGCAAUAAAAUAAACUUUACAUAUGGUAGCGGAAGAACACAUAUAUCUUGCAUUGUGCAGAUUUCUAAAUUCAAAAACAUGAAAUAAUGUUAAAAAUAAAAAUGAAAUAAGAUAAAUAUUUGAACGCUAUGAAAUUGUGUAAAAGCCGAAUUUUGAUAGGUAAGUUAUUUGCCAUAUUGAAAAAGGUUUGGCUAAUUAAAAGUCACUUUGGUGAUUUGUUUGAAAAAACUCCAAUUAAGAUAUAACACAGUUAAUUAAUAUUUUUCAAAAUAAAGACUAACUGACCAUUUCAUUUAAUUAAAAAAAAUAUGUAUUUCCAUUUGAGAUUGUACUUGUGAAAAAGGCAAAGUUUGUCAUUUAUUCUAAAAGUUUGAUUCGCAGGUGCAAAGUUGUAUAAUUAAGUGGUUAAACCAUUUACCAUUAUUACAUAUAUAUGGGCAUCGAAUGAACAUGAAAUUAGCUGAAUAAAAUCAAUUCUAAAUGAUUCAAAGCUUAACCAAAACUAAAUAAAGUAAAGUUAUCAAUUUCAAUUAAAGCCACAUAAAAAAAUAUAAUCAAAAUAGCACAAGGUUAGUGAAACAAAUGCGAAUAAUAAAGUCAUGAAAAAGGUAAAGUACUAGAUACUAUAAAUUUCUAUCACAAAACUCGGCUCGAUUUCUAGCAAUUUAAACUUGGCGCUCUGUGAUCCUAUAGUUUUGACCCAAAAUUUGGGUCAAAACGAGUUUCGAUCAAAACUUCGACUCUCGAGAUUACAUGAAAUAAAGAAAAUAAUAAGAAUUAGAAACCGAACUUGAUGAAAUAAAUGAAUAAUGAAAAUGGUAUACAACCAAUGACCAAAUAGAUCACGCAAUACAAAAAUAAAUAAACUUUAAUUAUCACCCAAAUGAAACUAACUUAUGCAUAUUUUAGCAAACAGCGUCUUGAUGAAGCUACGAGUCAACAAUCCCACCUUAUCUCAAAAUAUUUAACAAAAUUCGAAUCUUAAAUCUUUUCAAUGUAUAGGAAUGUGAUAAUGUAAGCUAAUCAAACCAAAUCUCCAUCUAUGUUCACAGGAGAAAAACUUAGAACAGCUCAUUAAUGGGGACUUUCUUCGUGUCUCCUAUACUUUGAACAUUCACAGAAAUGUCAAACAAGACAAGACGGACAUCAAAUAAAUUAAUAUAGGAUAAUAUACACAUAUUCUUGAAACUAUUUAAUAACAUACUAGCCAAAAUCGAUCGAACAAAAGAGAAACAAAAGGGCUGAUUUUUUAUGUUUGAAGACAGACCGGGUCAAAAUUACUUUUAAGGCUCAAUUUUUAGAAAAAGCAGCAGUAUAUACACACAUAUACAUAUGUUUUAACAAGUCCAUAUGCUCAAACAAGAAACAACUUUUCCAAAAAAAAAUAGGUUUCAUUCACAGAAUUAAAGGGAAACAACAAUGACAUGAGUUUGAAAUUGAAAUAAAAUCACAUAUUCAUGGAACCGAACUAGGAAUGAAACUAAAGGAGACAGAUUCGUACUUAGGAUGCAAAAUAGCCUCUCUCGAAACAAAAUAGUUUUAAAGAUUAAAAGAGAAAAAAUUAUGUUUUGAAAUUAAUUUCCAGAGAAUAAACAACAACACCAUAAUAAGACCUGAAACAAAUUAAAAUCACACAUCCACUAGAUUCAAAAAUGACCUACGGAGAAGAUAUGAAGGCCACAUGAAAGAUGGGUGUUUACCUUAUAUUGUGCAGCAAAGCUGAGGCUUCCCGUAGAGAAUCCUAUGGCCACAAAACUCAAAACUCGGGAACUCAGAAUUUACGAAACCAAGGACCAAGUGAAGUAAUUCUUGCAGCCCUUUGCUUGUGAAAUUGUCAGGCGUUAAUCAACUUUUCCCCAUUUUGCCCUCUAUUUUUCACUUUGUUUUUCUCUCUCCUUCUGGAGAAUCAAAGACAACCAUUUAUAGGCACAAAUCUAGACUUGAAAGUUCAGAUUUAGAAUAAAAAUUUAUUCAAAAUGUGUGGAUCUGAGAGGAGAUUUGAAAAUUCAAGUUCAAAUUUCUAAAAUAAAUCCUCUUUUUCUCCAUAUCUUGAUAAUUUGCAGAGAACUGAUGGCAGAUUAAUCUGUUUUCCAUUAUAUCAUUGAUUUGGGAUAGAUUUUCUGAUUUUUGAAGGGAUUCAUGGAUUGGGAGAUGUUAAAAUGGGAGGAAUCUCGUGACAGCCUGUUUGGAUGGUUAUCAUGGAACCAUGUUUAUUUUCAUGGUUUUCUAAAAAUGGUGAUAGGUAUGUUACUAUUCUAUGUUUGAUAACCAUGAAAUGAGGCAAUUUCUGGAACUACCAAUUUGGUGGUGUGGCGUGGUUCUCCCUUUUUUUUUUUUCCAACUUUGACCUUAUAUAAUUUUAUUAAAACCCAUUAUACCCUUUUACUUUUCUUAACCUUAUAUACUCUUUUCUUCAACUUAACUCUCUUUUUCACUGCAGCACCCAUCUCUGGCACCACCCUAGCAUUUAACAUAGUAGUAUCCUCAGAAAAAAUAAGAGACGCUGCUAUCUCAUUGACGCCUUUUAGGGUUUUUUUCAUUUUCGGGGUAAGAAUAGAUAUAGGUAUAGCUAUUUUGUAAGGCCGACCACGAUGGAGAUAGUAGGAAGUGGAAGAAGGAGGUGGGUCGAUGAACUCAAUGUAGCUGACAGAGAAAACGACGUCAUCAAUGCCCUCAUUGAAAAUUUAU
rnacentral:lncRNA from 1 species